rnacentral:tRNA from 1 species
GGGACGUUAACUCAGACGGUAGAGUAUCUGCCUUUUAAGCAGAGAGUCGCGCGUUCAAUCCGCGCACGUCCCACCA